rnacentral:rRNA from 1 species
GAUGAACGCUGGCGGCGUGCUUAACACAUGCAAGUCGAACGGUGAACACGGAGCUUGCUCUGUGGGAUCAGUGGCGAACGGGUGAGUAACACGUGAGCAACCUGCCCCUGACUCUGGGAUAAGCGCUGGAAACGGCGUCUAAUACUGGAUAUGUGACGUGACCGCAUGGUCUGCGUUUGGAAAGAUUUUUCGGUUGGGGAUGGGCUCGCGGCCUAUCAGCUUGUUGGUGAGGUAAUGGCUCACCAAGGCGUCGACGGGUAGCCGGCCUGAGGGUGACCGGCCACACUGGGACUGAGACACGGCCCAGACUCCUACGGGAGGCAGCAGUGGGGAAUAUUGCACAAUGGGCGCAAGCCUGAUGCAGCAACGCCGCGUGAGGGAUGACGGCCUUCGGGUUGUAAACCUCUUUUAGCAGGGAAGAAGCGAAAGUGACGGUACCUGCAGAAAAAGCGCCGGCUAACUACGUG